GGAGCUUCGAUCUGCCGGGAAUGCAAACUGCCAGUCCCGAUUCCCGCCCUGAUGGUGGCCAAAAGGCUGACUCUCCCAAAGCAGCCGGCCCCUUGCUUGCUUCGCCCCUACCUUCUUCCCACACGGCCAGCUGCGGACCAACCCUCACCCCGAAGCGGGGGAGGUGUAAGUAGGGAGAAGAGUUUUGAGAAAGAUUAGGGCUCGCAUCCUCAGAGACUGGAAAAGAUCAGGAGUUCUAACAUGUAAGAAGACAACUCUAAACGCGCAAACUAAAAGAGAAUUCUCAUCAGUCCAAGAGACAAAACUCAAGUUUCUGUUUAAGUGGGCUUUGGAGGAGCAGGGGACCCAGGGCGAACAUCAGAACAUAGAUCUGGAAUCAGGUUGCACUGAGCGCACGUACCUCCCUUCCCUAAGCGACGAGUAUUGCCUCUUUUACUACUUCUCCUGAGUCAACGCCCGGUUCCCUCCAAGAGUAGAGUUUUCAUAAAGUCGAGCAUCUCAGCUUUCCCAGCCUCGCGCACAUCAUCCCCUCCCCAACUCCGAACUCGCCCCAAGUGUGUCCGAAGGACAGACAAGUUCUCCCAAGGCGGAUGCGUUUUGCCUUGAAAGCGUUCUCUUUUAACUACUCAUCCUAGGAUCCCUCAUCAUUUGCAUCUCUUUCUUCUUCUUCCUUACCACCUCACUCCCCAAGUUUUAAGAUCUUUUACUUUCCUCCAUCCGAAACAAAUGUAGAGUUUUCUGGUGCAAACUCCUCGAUACGUCACGCGUGAGGUGAAGGCAGGGCCGCGUGUCAGUGCGGAGAGGGUCCAGGUGAAUUACCAGCGCCUUUAUGCCACUGCCUGACACCACCACUCCACCCCGCACCUCUUCACUCCCCUACUCCCCAGCCCUUCCCCAAUGUGAACUUGGAAACAGAAUUUCAGGCCAAAAUAGAAACUCCCGGUCUCGAGGAAGACUAUUUCUCUGUUUAAUUCUCGGGAGGCUGCGCGGACUGGGCCAGGAAAGGCAAUCCUUUUCCGAUUGCAGAGAGGACCGAACUGGGCCGGCCGUCUUCCUGGAACCUCAGCCGGUCUCGGCCAACACCUGGGCGCCUUCCGACGGCUGCUAGGUGGGCUGUAAGCUCGAUUUCUCCAGCAGGCCCGCUGGGCAUAAGCGCGAGUGGCGGCAGUGGGGAACGAAGUAGGGGGUGGGGGCGUCAAGCCAAACACUGACAUGGGCACAGCUACAUUUAUGAUUCUAAAAUGAACUGCGAAGGGAAUUGUGCGAUGUAUGCAAGAAAGGGCCAAUCUGAAAACAUAACUUAUGAGAGAAGUCGACGUAUAAGCCGCAGAGAAACCGGUUCACAGCCGAGCCCACAGCUCUAAGAGGUUCCCCCUCUUCCGAGACCUCAUCCAGGACAACUUCAUUUACUGGCAGAUCCGCGGCCACUUCCGGGACUCUUUACCGAGUGGGUCCUUCCACCGCUGAGCCUUCUGAGGGGCUGUCGGGUCGCCUGUGCGUGGCGGGGAGCCAGAUCCCCCGCCGCCCGAAGCGUAGCCGGGUCCCUGCGAGCCGAGCCACCCGGAACCCUGGGCCUGCCUGCACCCCAGGGAGCGCAGACUCCUAAAGCGGGCGGGGAGCCCUGCAGGAUACGCUGUCCGCGCUGGGGGCCCCCAGUGUGCUCACACUGGGCUGCUACGGGGCGGCGGUGCUGGGGGCUUGUUCCCCGGGGACCCCGAACGAUCUGGAAAGAGCU
ensembl:lncRNA